GCGCCACGCUCAGGGACCAAGGGGCGGCGGGGCCGGGACCGCCACAGGGACCGGGACGGGAACAGCGACAGGGGACAGCGACAGCCCCAGGGACAGCGACAGACCCCGGGAUAGCGAUAGACCUCGCCGGGGUGAGCCCUACGGGUUCCCUUCAGGAGCCGAGGCUCCCUGCGCGCAGCCCAUGCCCGAGAGGGGCUGAGAGUACCCGGGCAGGUUGCGGUUCGUUCUUCCCUGCCCCGCCGACUUUUCAUCAGCCUUGAAAAGACACCGAACGACCGUCGGGACCGAGAACUACCCGCAAACCCACACCGGGCCUUGAGCAGAGCUUUAAAGG